rnacentral:rRNA from 1 species
CCUAGUAACGGCGAGUGAAGCGGCAACAGCUCAAAUUUGAAAUCUGGCGCAAGCCCGAGUUGUAAUUUGUAGAGGAUGCUUCUGGGUAGCGACCGGUCUAAGUUCCUUGGAACAGGACGUCAUAGAGGGUGAGAAUCCCGUAUGUGACCGGCCCGCACCCUUUACGUAGCUCCUUCGACGAGUCGAGUUGUUUGGGAAUGCAGCUCUAAAUGGGAGGUAAAUUUCUUCUAAAGCUAAAUACCGGCCAGAGACCGAUAGCGCACAAGUAGAGUGAUCGAAAGAUGAAAAGUACUUUGGAAAGAGAGUUAAAAAGCACGUGAAAUUGUUGAAAGGGAAGCGCCUGCAAUCAGACUUCGCGGCAGUGUUCCGCCGGCCUUCUGGCCGGUUCAUUCUCUGUCGCGAGGCCAUCAUCGUCUCGGCCCGCUGGAUAAGACCUUGGGAAUGUAGCUCACCUUCGGGGGAGUGUUAUAGCUCAUGGUGAUGCAGCGAGGCUGGGGCGAGGUCCGCGCUUCGGCAAGGAUGAUGGCGUAAUGGUUGUCGGCGGCCCGUCU